ACGGAGGAUCCAAGCGUUAUCCGGAAUCAUUGGGUUUAAAGGGUCCGUAGGCGGCUUAAUAAGUCAGUGGUGAAAGCCCUACGCUUAACGUAGGAACGGCCAUUGAUACUGUUAGGCUUGAAUUAUUAGGAAGUAACUAGAAUAUGUAGUGUAGCGGUGAAAUGCUUAGAUAUUACAUGGAAUACCAAUUGCGAAGGCAGGUUACUACUAAGUGAUUGACGCUGAUGGACGAAAGCGUGGGGAGCGAACAGGAUUAGAUACCCUGGUAGUCCACGCCGUAAACGAUGGAUACUAGCUGUUCGGAGCAAUCUGAGUGGCUAAGCGAAAGUGAUAAGUAUCCCACCUGGGGAGUACGCACGCAAGUGUG
rnacentral:rRNA from 1 species